rnacentral:antisense_RNA from 1 species
AGGUCUGUUGAAAACUUGCUUCGUAAAUGAUUUGCAUAUACAAGAACUCGGAGAAAGCAUCCUGUUUUGUUGAGAGGUGCACCAAGUGACUUUUUCAUCACUGGUUUCAUAACGAGGUUUGCUGGCAGCUGUGUCUCAGAAAAAGCUGUCUUCAGCAAGGCAGAAGCAGAGGAUUUUCUAGAAGAUUUGCACUAUCAGCUUGGUAUUCAAUUCUUUAGCUUGAAAUGAUUUCAGUGCCUAACUGAAAAUACUCAUAUUGUCAAAGGCACACUAUGGACUUUCAAGUCACAGGUGAUAUUACUACAGUAUCUCCAACAAGUGUUAAGGGAAGCAUAAUACUAAUUCAGUGAGACAUAUGGCUCUAAAACCUUCUCAUCUAAUAUUUAAGUAAAUAACAUCUUUCUACCUGUUCAAGUCAGAAAUUCCAACUGCAAUACAAAUAGACAAAUAUAAAAAUAGUGCUGGGUCAAUGUACUUUUAAGGAAGGGGAUUUCUCCUGACCCCUGAUGGCAACGGUAACUGUUUACUGCACUGUACACAGUCUCAGGGAGUUCCUCACAUACUGUACUGGUGUCUGAUAUCAGGAACUCCUCUAUGUUCAGCAGAGAGGUGGAAAUCAAUCUGCAUUCUCGAUUAGGGUUUAUAGCCACACCGUCUUGAAAUGCAGUUAGUCGUACAAGUACAUUUUUUUUCUAAUUCUUGUGACAAUAUGUCAGUUUUUAAAUUUAUAUUUCAAACAAAUGCGAAAUAGAGUAAGUUUUCAUAUUGUUUACACCACAUUCAUGCAAUGUAUUUAAUGUAUGAACUUGUACAAAGUGUCGUCAUCAUCUUCAUGAAUAUAUAGAUGUAUGUAUAUGUGUAUACAUAUGUAUACAGACUGUGUGUGUGAAAUAAACUAUACAAAAUAUCCAAACUGUUAGGACUAGAAAUAGGUACUUGCAACUACAGAAUCACAGAAUUGCUACUACAACACCAUUUACUUCAUAUAUAUCUCUUCGAUUUCCCUUUAUAUGUAUUUAUAUUUACAUUUAAAUUAUUGUAAUUGUUGUUAGGGUGCAUAAUUGUUAGUAAGCACCACUCAGAACUAAGAAAAUAAAGAUUAUAGAAAAUUA